AUUGAACGCUGGCGGCAGGCCUCACCCAUGCAAGUCGAACGAGUGGCGGACGGGUGAGUAAUGUCUGGGAAACUGCCUGAUGGAGGGGGAUAACUCCUGGAAACGGUAGCUAAUCCCGCAUACCAUCAGCUGUGCCCUGAUGGGAUUAGCUUGUUGGUGGGGUAACGGCUCACCAAGGCGACGAUCCCUAGCUGGUCUGAGAGGAUGACCAGCCACACUGGAACUGAGACACGGUCCAGACGCCUACGGGAAGCAGCAGUGGGGAAAAUUGCACAAUGGGCGCAAGCCAGAUGCAGCCAGGCCGCGUGUAUGAAGAAGGCAUUCGGGUUGUAAAGUAAUUUCAGCGGGGAGGCGGUACCCGCAGAAGAAGCACCGGCUAACUCCGUGCCAGCAGCCGCGGUAAUAC
rnacentral:rRNA from 1 species